rnacentral:rRNA from 1 species
CCUACGGGAGGCAGCAGUGAGGAAUAUUGGUCAAUGGGCGAGAGCCUGAACCAGCCAAGUCGCGUGAGGGAAGACGGUCCUAUGGAUUGUAAACCUCUUUUGCCGGGGAGCAAAAAGCGGUACGCGUACCGCAUCGAGAGUACCCGGAGAAAAAGCAUCGGCUAACUCCGUGCCAGAAGCAGCGGUAAUACGGAGGAUGCGAGCGUUAUCCGGAUUUAUUGGGGUAAAAGGGUGCGCAGGCGGCGAGUUAAGUCAGUGGGAAAAUUUCGGGGCUAAACCCCGACAAGCCGUUGAAACUGGCUUGCUAGAGUGAGCGAGAAGUAUGCGGAAUGCGUGGUGUAGCGGUGAAAUGCAUAGA